rnacentral:rRNA from 1 species
AACAGGAUUAGAUAGCCUGGUAGUCCAUGCCGUAAACGUUGGGAACUAGAUGUAGGGACCAUUCCUCGGUUUCUGUGUCGCAGCUAACGCAUUAAGUUCCCCGCCUGGGGAGUACGGCCGCAAGGCUAAAACUCAAAGGAAUUGACGGGGGCCCGCACAAGCGGCGGAGCAUGCGGAUUAAUUCGAUGCAACGCGAAGAACCUUACCAAGGCUUGACAUAUACCGGAAACCUGCAGAAAUGUAGGCCCCGCAAGGUCGGUAUACAGGUGGUGCAUGGUUGUCGUCAGCUCGUGUCGUGAGAUGUUGGGUUAAGUCCCGCAACGAGCGCAACCCUCGUUCUAUGUUGCCAGCACGUUAUGGUGGGAACUCAUAGGAGACUGCCGGGGUCAACUCGGAGGAAGGUGGGGAUGACGUCAAAUCAUCAUGCCCCUUAUGUCUUGGGCUUCACGCAUGCUACAAUGGCCGGUACAAAGGGCUGCGAUACCGUAAGGUGGAGCGAAUCCCAAAAAGCCGGUCUCAGUUCGGAUUGAGGUCUGCAACUCGACCUCAUGAAGUCGGAGUCGCUAGUAAUCGCAGAUCAGCAACGCUGCGGUGAAUACGUUCCCGGGUCUUGUACACACCG